rnacentral:rRNA from 1 species
GACGAACGCUGGCGGCGUGCUUAACACAUGCAAGUCGAACGGAAAGGCCCCUUUGGGGGUACUCGAGUGGCGGACGGGUGGGUAACACGUGAGUAACCUGCCCUUGCCUUCGGGAUAACUUCAGGAAACUGGGGCUAAUACCGGAUAGGAAUCCUUGCUGCAUGGUGGGGGUUGGAAAGCUUCGGCGGUUUUGGAUGGACUCGCGGCUUAUCAGCUUGUUGGUGGGGUAGUGGCUUACCAAGGCUUUGACGGGUAGCCGGCCUGGGAGGGCGACCGGCCACAUUGGGACUGGGAUACGGCCCAGAAUCCUACGGGAGGCAGCAGUGGGGAAUAUUGCACAAUGGGCGGAAGCCUGAUGCAGCAACGCCGCGUGCGGGAUGACGGCCUUCAGGUUGUAAAACGCUUUCAGCAGGGGCGAAGCUUGUGGUGACGGUACCUGCAGAAGAAGCACCGGCUAACUACGUG